rnacentral:lncRNA from 1 species
AUGACUAUGUCCUGGAACCCUGGGGUAGAGGAAGCACCACUUUCAGUCCUGCUUCUUGGGAUUGUUGACGGCCACGUAGUGAUAGAGAACCACAAGCAAGAAGAGGACACGCCCAGCAUGUUGGCGAAGAUGGGGAGCUGCACAUCUGUGAUCAUCCUGACCAGCUCAGCUUGGACCGCCGCCGCCAGAGCACCAGCUCGAGGUGGGAACCCUGGACUGGGACUUCACUUUGCCAGCUGAAUAAGUUCUUUAUACAGUAAAUACAUGUUAUUUUUUCAUUUUUGCUAGCUUAAUUUACAAACUUUAAUAAUUCUCCCCUUUUUGCAGUUGUCAGAUUCAUGACUGAAUAAAGUUUAUUGAAACUAAAAAAAAAAAGAAUAUAUGAAGGUGAUCCUACAGUAACAUUAUAUACUAGUAGUUAUUAUUAGUUGAUAUUUAUGUAACUUAGUAUGCACCACAUUAGUAUGAACUGUCUCAUGUCCCAUUAUAACUAAAGUUAUUAAAAUCACAUUAAUUUUUUCUAACUAUAAAACAUAAAAUGGGAAGAUGGAGGAUUAGAGAGG